rnacentral:rRNA from 1 species
GUAGGUGGCAAGCGUUAUCCGGAAUUAUUGGGCGUAAAGCGCGCGCAGGCGGUUUCUUAAGUCUGAUGUGAAAGCCCACGGCUCAACCGUGGAGGGUCAUUGGAAACUGGGGAACUUGAGUGCAGAAGAGAAAAGCGGAAUUCCACGUGUAGCGGUGAAAUGCGUAGAGAUGUGGAGGAACACCAGUGGCGAAGGCGGCUUUUUUGGUCUGUAACUGACGCUGAGGCGCGAAAGCGUGGGGAGCAAACAGGGAUUAGAUACCCUGGUAGUCCACGCCGUAAACGAUGAGUGCUAAGUGUUAGAGGGUUUCCGCCCUUUAGUGCUGCAGCUAACGCAUUAAGCACUCCGCCUGGGGAUACGGUCGCAAGACUG